rnacentral:rRNA from 2 species
UUUAUGGAGAGUUUGAUCCUGGCUCAGGAUGAACGCUGGCGGCGUGCCUAAUACAUGCAAGUCGAGCGAACGGACGAGAAGCUUGCUUCUCUGAUGUUAGCGGCGGACGGGUGAGUAACACGUGGAUAACCUACCUAUAAGACUGGGAUAACUUCGGGAAACCGGAGCUAAUACCGGAUAAUAUUUUGAACCGCAUGGUUCAAAAGU